UUAUUCAGCCAUAUCACCCUGCAACUCACAACUGGCAACCCACUGAAGCUAAGCAGGUGUGAGCCUGGUCAGUACCUGGAUGGGAGACCUCCUGGGAAAAACUAAGGUUGCUGCUGGAA
ensembl:rRNA 5S_rRNA 5S ribosomal RNA